rnacentral:precursor_RNA from 15 species
UGGGCAACAGCACCUUUUAGCACCUGACCCUGUGCCCUGGGAUAGAUAAGCGAUCUCUUCCAUUCCCUUUUCUAUCCAUGGCACUGGUGCCGCUGCUGCCUCUACCACCAUUGCUCC